rnacentral:rRNA from 1 species
CCUACGGGAGGCAGCAGUGAGGAAUAUUGGUCAAUGGACGAGAGUCUGAACCAGCCAAGUAGCGUGAAGGAUGACUGCCCUAUGGGUUGUAAACUUCUUUUAUAUGGGAAUAAAAUGUUCCACGUGUGGGAUUUUGUAUGUACCAUAUGAAUAAGGAUCGGCUAACUCCGUGCCAGCAGCCGCGGUAAUACGGAGGAUCCGAGCGUUAUCCGGAUUUAUUGGGUUUAAAGGGAGCGUAGGUGGAUUGUUAAGUCAGGUGUGAAAGUUUGCGGAUCAACCGUAAAAGUGCAGUUGAAACUGGCAGUCUUGAGUACAGUAGAGGUGGGCGGAAUUCGUGGUGUAGCGGUGAAAUGCUUAGAUAUCACGAAGAACUCCGAUUGCGAAGGCAGUUCACUGGACUGCAACUGACACUGAGGCUCGAAAGUGUGGGUAUCAAACAGGAUUAGAUACCCCAGUAGUC